UACAGAGGGUGCGAGCGUUAAUCGGAAUUACUGGGCGUAAAGCGUGCGUAGACGGUUAUUUAAGUCGGAUGUGAAAGCCCCCGGGCUCAACCUGGGAAUUGCAUUCGAGACUGAAUAGCUAGGGUACGGUAGAGGGAAGUGGAAUUUCCGGUGUAGCGGUGAAAUGCGUAGAUAUCGGAAGGAACAUCAGUGGCGAAAGCGACUUCCUGGACCAGUACCGACGUUCAGGCACGAAAGCGUGGGGAGCAAACAGG
rnacentral:rRNA from 1 species